GUCUGGCAAACGGGCGGCCGAGGGAGGGCGCGCUGAGGUGGUGGCUUCGCCUGUCCCUUACAGCGUUUGCGGGAAACGGCCUUGAGAGAGCGCCCUUCCCUCCGUCGCCUCUCCCACCCCACGAGAUUUCAGGAUGUGACGGCAAGCACACGCUCAACAGGCUCUGUUUUCUGCGGCACAUGCAGCCGUCGCUGGCAGCGCCACUGUUCCCUCGCUGCUCACUUGGUUCGGUUGUGAGGGGAUGGCAGAGGGAUUCAAAGAAUGAAAGAAACCAGUACCUUGAUUAUAUAAGUUGCAGGUGAAUGCGCUCGCAAAGUUGCUUGCCUAUAAGCAAAUACUUACAGAGCAUGAAGUGUGCUCUCACUGUUUUCAGAUGUUGUAGUAGACAUUAUCUUAGAAGAGGCUUCCCUGAGUUAGGAAAUGUGCUUCUUUUAAGCUAGUGCUUGCCACCUGCAAUUUUUAAAAGUACAGUGGUACCUCAGGUUACGUACCGUUCAGGUUACAGACUCCGCUAAUCCAGACAUAGUGUUUCAGGUUAAGAACUUUGCUUCAGGAUGAGAACAGAAAUCGUGCUCCGGUGGUGCGGCAGCAGCAGGAGGCCCCAUUAGCUAAAGUGGUGCUUCAGGCUAAGAACAGUUUCAGGUUAAGUACGGACCUCCGGAACAAUUUAAGUAUUUAACUUGAGGUACCACUGUACGUAUAAGACACAUAGAUAAUUUCUACUAUUUAGCAACAACAGAAGAUUGAAAUGUGCUGUUUUUGCACAAAAUUAUUUUUGAUCACAAUUUGAUUUAGUUUUUGAUUCCUGACAAGACAGACAUAAAAGGGAAACUAUGGGAACCGAUGUGUGAUUAGUGGGGCUUUCUUUCAGAGAUUAUUUGUAGCAGUGAAAGCCCUAAAAUCUAGAUUUCAAACUUUUUGACCGUAGCUAGCCUUAACAGCACACAAGCCACUGCAUGUUUAGUAAGCAAUAACUUGAACAAAGGCUUGAAUCCUGAAGUCAUUCGCUAGAGAGCAAGGCCUGUUGAAGACAGUGAGGCUUCUGAGUGACUAAACAUGCAUAUGAUUGCAUAUACCCUGGAAGUGGACCAUUUAUACUUGGAAUGGUACAAAAGGACAAAAUAAAAUCUGAGUAAAAUAGCUUUUAAGAAACUGGUUUUGGUGUUUUAGUUUGAUUUUUUUGUUUUGUUUGAUAUCACAAGUGCUCAGGGUUGGGUAUAGCAAUAGUAAAUUCAGAAUAAUAAAGGUGAUGGUGUGUGCAAGUGGUAUGAAGCUGGGGCUCUGCUAUUGGUUGAUGAACACUUGUGUAACUUUACCCUCUGCUUAAUUUUCUUGUUUCUAGCAUGUAUCUGUUAGAAAUGCUUUGUGGCCGAGUUGGGAUUUUAACUUGCAUCUAAUGGUCCUAAUCCAAAACUCCUACAUUAUAAUACUGAGCAAAGAUGAAAUCUGAACAAUGCAUAAUAAAUUUGUGGAAUCUGGUGCCACAAUAGAUUAUGAUGACCUAUAGCAAGAGUAGCCAAUGUGGUUCCCCCCAGAAGUUUUUGGACUACAAUACCCACCAGCCCCAGCCAGCAUAACCAAUGGGGAGGGAUGAUGGGAGUUGUAGUCUAACAUCUGGAAGACACCACAUUGGCUAUCCCUGGCCUAUAGUUUAGGUGGCUUUAAAAGGGGAUUAGACAAAUCCUUGGAGGAGUCUGCUGCAAUCAUGUUCUCAUGUACUUGGCGGUAAGUCCCACUGAACUCAAUGGACGGAGCUUCCUUCUGAGCAGACAUACAGAGGAUUGCACUAUAUGACUUAUCGUUGGCGAUAGAUCAGGAGAGCUGUUGUCUACUUCCGGGUUUAGAAGAGGCAUACAUUUGAAGCACAAUCUGUUUUCCGACAAGGAAAUUCAAGUAACUUCAAGUAAUCCAGCUUUUGUUUCCCUGCCUUCAUUUAUUCAAAGUAUUUGCUUGGAUUCCUUUUCCACCCCACCCACUAUAUAUUCCCACCCUGUUAAGCAUUUCUGGUAAAGCCAGGACCAAAAGAAACUGAGCUGUAUGUGGCUGGCAUAAUAGACCAAAGAGUUUCCCCAUUCCAAGUUUAGUAAGCUAUAUAAAGUAUGCAUACAUACA